AGAGUUUGAUCAUGGCUCAGGACGAACGCUGGCGGCGUGCCUAACACAUGCAAGUCGUGCGGUCUCGCCUUAAGCGAAAGGCCUUCGGGCUUUGAAGCAAAGGCGAGAUAGCGGCGGACGGGUGAGUAACGCGUGGCUUAUCUGUCCCAGGGAGGGGGAUAACGUCUGGAAACGGGCGCUAAUACCCCAUAUGCCGAAAGGUAAAAAGGAGAAAUCCGCCCUGGGGUGAGGCCGCGUCCUAUCAGCUCGUUGGUGAGGUAACGGCCCACCAAGGCUAUGACGGGUAGCCGGCCUGAGAGGGCGGCUGGCCACACUGGGAUUGAGAUACGGCCCAGACUCCUACGGGAGGCAGCAGUGGGGAAUAUUGGGCAAUGGGGGAAACCCUGACCCAGCGACGCCGCGUGGAGGAAGGAGCCCUUCGGGGUGUAAACUCCUGUUGUAAGGGAAGAAGACAGUGACGGUACCUUACGAGGAAGCCCCGGCAAACUACGUGCCAGCAGCCGCGGUAACACGUAGGGGGCGAGCGUUGUCCGGAAUUACUGGGCGUAAAGCGCACGCAGGCGGAUGCGCGCGUCGGCUGUGAAAUGCACCGGCUCAACCGGUGCACUGCGGUCGAUACGGCGCAUCUGGAGUGCGGGAGAGGGAAGCGGAAUUCCCGGUGUAGCGGUGAAAUGCGUAGAUAUCGGGAGGAACGCCGGUGGCGAAGGCGGCUUCCUGGCCCGCAACUGACGCUCAUGUGCGAAAGCCAGGGGAGCGAACCGGAUUAGAUACCCGGGUAGUCCUGGCCGUAAACGAUGGACGCUAGGUGUGGGCGGUUUAUCCGUCUGUGCCGAAGUUAACGCGUUAAGCGUCCCGCCUGGGGAGUACGAUCGCAAGGUUGAAACUCAAAGGAAUUGACGG
rnacentral:rRNA from 1 species